GAGGGAACGCAGGCGAGGAGGCAGGACCACGCCACGGAUAAGGAUUGUGUGACUAUGGCCUCCCCUGCCUUCCUGCUGUCUCUCUUUGAUGGGGGCACUAGGGGGCGCCGCUGUGCCAUUGAAGCAGACCUCAAGAUGAAGAAAUGACUACUUGCAUUCGUUGGUCCCUGGACUGAAUUACAUUUUGAUUUUCAUCCAUUUAGUUGCAUCGGUUUUCCAUAUCAGCACAAAACAGGGUUUGAUGAAAACUGUUACUGUUGUGAAAGGCUAAUUGAGCUCAUGAAAAGCAUUUCUACUUUAACAGUUAGGGCACACAAAGGUCACAACCUACUUAUACAACACUAACCACAGCCCACCUUCACCUUUAUGUAGACUUACAGUAAUAUUCUCCUGCAGUGACUUGACUAACAAAGAAAAAUGAGGUGAUUACUAAUGCCCGAAUGCCAAAGAUAAUUUCAGUUAAUUAUCUGGGAACACUUUUACACUUCUAGUUUGGUAAAGAAUAAGUCAAUGUUUUUAUCAAUGUGUGUUGUGCGCAUGUGGGUCUGAUACUGUUUGAUUCUAUCACUAAUGCACAAAAUAUUUUCGUGAUUGACAAGUUAACCCGAAUACAUUUCAUAAAAAAGGCGCAUCACAGCACUGAAGUCUGAUAUGUGGAGUAAGUGAGUAUUAUGGGAUGUUAAAAAAGAUGAUUAACAACAUUAAUUCUUACUAAAGACUGCCUAACUACCUUGCAGCUGUGAUACCACUUAUAGUACUACUACUACUACAACUGCAAAUACUGACUAAUACUAGUGUUAUACAAGACCGUGUUUUCAUGUUCUACCUAGAUAGAUUUACGGGCUGAAACUCUGCUUGUGUAUGUGUGUGUCUGUGUGUGUGUGUGCAGCCAGUAUACCAAUAUUAUCAACAGAUAACUGGAUUCUUAAGAUGAACCUCUCCCCUAGUGGCAGUGCUGCCGCGUUGGUUCCAUCAACAGACAACCAAGACGCCGCGUUUAAUCUUAGAAGCAGAGAAAAACAUGAUAUAUCGCCCAUUUCUAACCAUACUGUCCUAUGCUUCUUCCAUUUCCGUUUAUAAACAUGUAUGUUUUGACUAUUGCAUUUGUGGUCUUCAUCUGAUUGUAUUGUUACCGUGACAGUACAUAAUAUACUGAAAAUAAGUAUUUCCAUUGUUUAUGUUUUAUUAUGACUGCCAGGCUGUUGGUUUAGACUCCCAGGGGGGCGAAAUAACUACCAGGGGGUCGAAAACAAGAAAUAUAGCAGUCUGCAGCCCGUAAAACACUGGGCUUGGCCUGAUGGUUUUGACCCCUGUGUUGGAAGGACAUACCACCAUCUUAGUAUAGGAUGGUGGUUUGUUUAUAUGUUUUUCCUUGAGCAACUGUGUGAUUGCCAGCUGUAACAUGGUAUUAUUGUAUUACCUUCCCAGUGCGACUAAAAUUGUGUUUGAGUCCUCACAUGCACAAACAAUGUUCUAACUUUAAUCAAAGUUAAACCAUGUCCAUAAAGCGUGUGUGCAAUUAUAAAUAAAAUACAAAUACAGUGAAAUUGACAAUAACAUCUAGAUCCCCUGUGUUUAUGUGUAUUUUUGACUGUGUAUAGUUUUGCUACAUGUGUGACUGUUGUGUAAUGAUUUAUAAUGUAAUAAACUCAU